GUGCCAGCAGCUGCGGUAAUACGUAGGUGGCGAGCGUUGUCCGGAAUUACUGGGUGUAAAGGGCGUGUAGGCGGGAAUGUAAGUCAGAUGUGAAAUUCCGCGGCUCAACUGCGGGGCUGCAUCUGAAACUAUGUUUCUUGAGUGCUGGAGAGGAAAGCGGAAUUCCUAGUGUAGCGGUGAAAUGCGUAGAUAUUAGGAGGAACACCAGUGGCGAAGGCGGCUUUCUGGACAGUAACUGACGCUGAGGCGCGAAAGCGUGGGGAGCAAACAGGAUUAGAAUACCCUGGUAGUCCACGCCGUAAACGAU
rnacentral:rRNA from 1 species